rnacentral:rRNA from 1 species
UUAAAUGAGGAGUAGUAUGAAUGGCACCACGAGGGUUGCACUGUCUCCUUUUCCUAAUCAAUGAAACUAAUCUCCCCGUGAAGAAGCGGGGAUACUACUAUAAGACGAGAAGACCCUAUGGAGCUUUAAAUUUCUCUUCAAACGCCAGACACAUAAACAUCUGACACUUUACAUCAACCCGACGCCUUGAAGAUGAAUUUUAGGUUGGGGUGACCAUGGAGAACAAAAUAACCUCCACGCUGAAAAGGCCUCUAAGCUUUGAGCCGAGGGCUACAACCCAACGCACUAAAAAAUUAACACCCAUUGACCCAAUAUUUUUGAUCAACGAACCAAGUUACCCUAGGGAUAACAGCGCAAUCUACUUCAAGAGUCCCUAUCAACAAGUGGGUUUACGACC